rnacentral:lncRNA from 1 species
UAUAACCAGGUGGCUUCUGCAAAGGUUUUCUCAUAGACAUUCUUCGAAAUUCCUCGCUUUAUUUCUCUCUGUUUCUGCAUGUGGAUUCAAAUUUGAUAUUGAUCACCAUGUUUUCAGGUAUAAAACGUCGAAAACAUAGUUAAGUAAAUAAAAAUAUAUUUUUUUAGGUUAUCAUACUCUUUAACAUGAUAUCAGUGUAGGCGGAGAUAUUUGAUUGGAAUCUCACUUUUAUUUAGCAUUAAAAAAGAAUUUUUACGUGUUUGACUUAUGAAAAAAAAAAACAAGCUAACGCGUAAAGCUUGCCACAUGAUAUAAAAAUAAAUGAGACGUGAGGGGACGUAUUGAAAACUUAAUUAAGAAAAUAAAAGUCAUGUGGUUAUUUUAGCGACUUAAGUUUUCAAAUGAAAUGGUCAGAUUUUCCAAUAUAGAUGAAAAUUUGUAUAUACUAGCUUCAAAUAUGCAUGAUAUGAAAUUGUUAUAGAAUGAAGAAGCAUUUCUUUUGUUGAAUUAUGUUUUCAGCAGGGGGCGGAGCUAGCAUAGCAUUUGGGGGUUCGGCUGAACCCAAUUAUUUUAGUCCAAAACUUAUAUUUGUCUUAAAAAAUUCAUUGAAUAUGUAUAAAUUGUUAAUUUAAAACCCAAUAACAUAAUGGGAUGCAGUUAGAAUUGUUGAAAGAAAGAAAUUUUUCAAAGAAUGCAAAUAACAUUGUGUAUCAAACCAAAGAAAUUAAAGAUGAAAAUGUGGGGUUAAAACAAACAUAAAAAUGAAUCAGAGAUAAAACCUGGGAGCACUUGAUUUCAUUGUUGCAUUUUAUUUGGAUAUGAUAUCAUGUGUAAAGGUUGAACCUUUAUAUAAAUUUGAGAGAUCAAAUAUGAAUCUUGAGGUGGCAAUAAUAAUUGAAGAAACCACAAAAAAAAAGAAUAAACUUGGGUUUUGGAGAAGAGAUUUUUUUUAAAAAAAAAUUUUCCUUUUUCUUUUGUAGGAUAUUUCUGCUGAGGUAAAAUGAGGAAAUGGAGGAAAAAGGUUUCUGGUAAUGACCAAGACAGGAACCAGAUAAUUUGUUGGGGAUUAAGAUUAAAUAGCCGAGAUUUACGCGCAAAGGUUUCGACUAGAUUAAAGACAAAUUAAGAAACUUAAAUUAUCCCCAAAGUCUUAUGUUUAUUCUUUUUUCUCGGCCAAACUUUUAUUUUGCUAGUCUCUCACCUCGGGUAUAUUUAGUCAUGUAAUACACAAUUUUGUAAAAUACUAUCAAUAUUGUUAGAACAAAAUUUUGAGUAAAUAAUUAUAUACGAAAGAGCAAACAUACGAAUUUUUAUGAAUGAUUAAUAUUGUGGUGAUUUGUUGUCGAGGUACAAGGAUAGCCCAAUACGCAAAGCAUUUUAUAUUCACGCAGGGUGGGGGAAGGCACUCCAAAGGGGUAUGAUAUAGACAGCUUAGCCUAAUGCAAGCAUUAAUGCUGGUUCCACGAUUCGAAUCAGAAGCAUCGAAUGAAAGAUUUUUUCCAAGACCAUUUGGAUGGGUCAUAACUUAUACAUAGGACAGUCUCUGUAAGAAGGACCUGUUUACUAUAGUCAGUGCGUAAGAUUUGUAGAAUUAAUUAUGCCUUUCUGCCUAUCGUUGUAGAAGUUGUUCCUAGAAAGAUUAUGGGUCUG